GUGGAGGAUGCUUCUGGAUUGAGAGCUCUGAGUUCCUCUUCCCUCUGUUUCUUGGUCUGCAGGAGAAUGAAAGGAGCUGGAGGUAACUUAGAGGAAAGAGGAAGGGCUUGUCCAUCGUGGCAGAGGUGUGGGAAUAUCUCACUCAGAUGAGGCCUUAAGGCUCAGAAACUGGAUACAUGAUCAGGGAAAGAAGGAGGAUAUGAUGGCUGUAUUUUGGUAUUUUUGGUUCCUGGAAAUGACUUCCCAUGCACUGGAGAAAACUUCAGGAUGGUCAAGGUACUCAAGAGACCAGAACCUGCCAGUUCAUUGAGAGAACAUCAAGGUGGUUUGGGGCUAUGUGGACCAUGGCUAUAUCUACUGUGCUGCCACACUCAGGAUUUCAAGUACUGAGAAAAAUGUCUUGCUUCUAGCUUCCUUGUCAUCUCUUUCCUUUUGUACAUCUGCUGGUAAAACAACCUGGCAAUAGAUGAAACUUUAAAUACAUUAGGCAUUCAUUUACAUUUGAAGAGGGAAAUAAAAUAUGCAUGA